rnacentral:rRNA from 1 species
GGGGAAUUUUGGACAAUGGGCGCAAGCCUGAUCCAGCAAUGCCGCGUGCAGGAUGAAGGCCUUCGGGUUGUAAACUGCUUUUGUACGGAGCGAAACAGCCUUUUCUAAUACAAGGGGCGAAUGACGGUACCGUAAGAAUAAGCACCGGCUAACUACGUGCCAGCAGCCGCGGUAAUACGUAGGGUGCAAGCGUUAAUCGGAAUUACUGGGCGUAAAGCGUGCGCAGGCGGUCUUGUAAGACAGAUGUGAAAUCCCCGGGCUUAACCUGGGACCUGCAUUUGUGACUGCAAGGCUGGAGUACGGCAGAGGGGGAUGGAAUUCCGCGUGUAGCAGUGAAAUGCGUAGAUAUGCGGAGGAACACCGAUGGCGAAGGCAGUCCCCUGGGCCUGUACUGACGCUCAUGCACGAAAGCGUGGGGAGCAAAC